rnacentral:lncRNA from 1 species
CUGGGGAAAAAGCUUGGCCAAGGUAUAAGAGAGCCUCAAGCUCAACACAGGCUCAGCUCAAGAGAGCUGCACGUAACUCUUCUGUGAUUCUUUCCUUUUGCCCCCGUUUACCCAUUGUGUAAGUUCUAAGCACUUACACAACCCUGAGAUUUCUGUGGUAAACAGCUAUUCUCUCAGCGUCUACCUCCACUGUCAGGGGAUACUUUGCAGUUUACAUACCUUUCAGUUAUACAUGAAUUUAAACAGUCCUUGAGAAACCUCAUCUCUAAACCGUUCUAGGGAAAUGCAAAUACUGCUACGUGACAAAUCCAGUGCCACUAGUUCCCUGCUCUCCAAAUGCACAAAACUCUGCUAGCUACACCAUGUACACUCACACAGCAAUUCACCACUGAGAUCCCAUCUCCACAGUGUUCCCACCUGAUAGCUUGCUCAACAAUUUAUUGCAACACUUGUACAAUAAACACAGGAAUUUCCUGGCUCUUCCAGUGAUCAAUGUAAGUGGCCUGCAAGAGCAGAACUUCAGCCCUUUGCUCCUCCUUUGAGAUACAUCAGGUAAAUGACAGAGCCCUUUACAAGGUCUAAGGAGCCUUCACGUAAAACCAUUCUACCUAUUGACCUCACCUUGCUGGUGGUAGAGAAAAGAUCUCACAAUGAAAAGGCACAAAGGUUUUCUGUGGUAUACUCUGUUUUUCUCUCUAUUGGACUAAGAAGAACACUUAAAUAGCUAUCUUUGGAAGAGAAUGUUUCAGAUACAACAUAAUUAAACCAGUGUUUAAUGAUAAAUAAUCCAAGCUGUCAUACCCCUGGAGAGGUAUAGAAGGGAGGAUUAAACAUUUAGCAUAAUUUUUAUAAUUUCUGACAUUAUAACUGUAUUUAAAAAUCUUCUGAAAGCAGCCACAGACUGACUUAGUCCACUCUGUUCUACUAGUUGGCCUUAGUCUAGAAAACAGAAUAGAGAUAUCUUCUCUCCGAGAUUACAAAACAAGUAGCCUGUUAGAAAUUAGAUAUUACUUCUAGAUUUCCUGCCGUGUGCUCUGACAGUUAUUCCUACCCUUUUCUCCUGAGUUGUCCUACAAAGCUCAGAAGUUUUAACGUUAUUCUUUGACUGACAUCAU